rnacentral:rRNA from 1 species
AGUAACGCGUGGGUAACCGUGCCUCAUACGAGGGGAUAACAGUUAGAAAUGACUGCUAAUACCGCAUAAGCGCACAGUGCUGCAUGGCACAGUGUGAAAAACUCCGGUGGUAUGAGAUAGACCCGCGUCUGAUUAGCUAGUUGGUGGGGUAACGGCCUACCAAGGCGACGAUCAGUAGCCGGCCUGAGAGGGUGAACGGCCACAUUGGGACUGAGACACGGCCCAA